rnacentral:rRNA from 1 species
UCAGGGGGCCCGCAAUGGGCAACCGGCGAACGGGUGCGUAACACGUGAGCAACCUACCGAACUGUGGGGGAUAGCCGGCCUAACGGCCGAGUAAUACCGCAUACGCUUUCAUUGAGGCAUUUCAGUGAAAGGAAACCUACGGGACAGAUCGAGGGGCUCGCGGCCUAUCAGCUAGUUGGCGAGGUAACGGCUCACCAAGGCGACGACGGGUAGCUGGUCUGAGAGGAUGGCCAGCCACAUUGGGACUGAGAUACGGCCCAGACUCCUACGGGAGGCAGCAGUGGGGAAUCUUGCGCAAUGGCCUAACGGCUGACGCAGCGACGCCGCGUGUGGGAUGAAGCUCCUCGGAGUGUAAACCACUGUUGCCCGGGACGAAUAGCUCGAUUAAUCGAGCCUGACGGUACCGGGUGAGGAAGCACCGGCUAACUCCGUGCCAGCAGCCGCGGUAAUACGGGGGGUGCGAGCGUUGUCCGGAAUCACUGGGCGUAAAGGGCGCGUAGGUGGUUUGAUAAGGGUGUGGUGAAAGUCCGGAGCUCAACUCCGGAUCUGCCGUGCCGACUGUCAAACUCGAGGGCUGUAGAGGCAGACGGAAUUCCGGGUGUAGCGGUGGAAUGCGUAGAGAUCCGGAGGAAGACCGGUGGCGAAGGCGGUCUGCUGGGCAGUUUCUGACACUGAGGCGCGACAGCGUGGGGAGCAAACAGGAUUAGAUACCCUGGUAGUCCACGCCGUANACGAUGGGUACUAGGUGCCUGGGGGNGCGAC